rnacentral:tRNA from 1 species
GUAGAAGAAUUGGAAAUCUACCUAUAUUUUGUGUUAAUAGACAAAAAUACAACUCCCCUGCUAAGGGAGUAGUACCGUAAAGGUAGCACGAGUUCGAAUCUCGUCUUCUGCGCCA